GUGGGGAAUAUUGCGCAAUGGGCGAAAGCCUGACGCAGCAACGCCGCGUGAGGGAUGACGGCCUUCGGGUUGUAAACCUCUUUCAGCAGGGACGAAGCGAAAGUGACUGUACCUGCAGAAGAAGCGCCGGCUAACUACGUGCCAGCAGCCGCGGUAAUACGUAGGGCGCAAGCGUUGUCCGGAUUUAUUGGGCGUAAAGAGUUCGUAGGCGGUCUGUCGCGUCGGAAGUGAAAACCCGGAGCUCAACUCCGGGCCUGCUUUCGAUACGGGCAGACUUGAGUGUUGCAGGGGAGACUGGAAUUCCUGGUGUAGCGGUGGAAUGCGCAGAUAUCAGGAGGAACACCGGUGGCGAAGGCGGGUCUCUGGGCAACAACUGACGCUGAGGAACGAAAGCGUGGGGAGCGAACAGGAUUAGAUACCCUAGUAGUCC
rnacentral:rRNA from 1 species